AGGUGGAGGGGAAAGACGAAGGGAUAAGUAGGAAUCAAGGUAGGUGGAGGGGAAAGACGAUGGGAUAAGUAGGAUUCAAGGUAGGUGGAGGGGAAAGACGAUGGGAUAAGUAGGAUUCAAGGUAGGUGGAGGGGAAAGACGAUGGGAUAAGUAGGAUUCAAGGUAGGUGGAGGGGAAAGACGAUGGGAUAAGUAGGAUUCAAGGUAGGUGGAGGGGAAAGACGAUGGGAUAAGUAGGAUUCAAGGUAGGUGGAGGGGAAAGACGAUGGGAUAAGUAGGAUUCAAGGUAGGUGGAGGGGAAAGACGAUGGGAUAAGUAGGAUUCAAGGUAGGUGGAGGGGAAAGACGAUGGGAUAAGUAGGAUUCAAGGUAGGUGGAGGGGAAAGAAAGAGGAAAAAGUAAGAUAAAGGUGUGGGAGAGAAGAAGGGAGCGCUGAUAGAAAGGGAGAAAGUAUGGCAAAAAAAGGAAAAUUAAGUAAAACGAGAGAGAAAAGUAGACUAGAACAAACAAAAGGAGAAAGAAAGAAAGGAAGGAAGGAGCUGUAUGAUAAAACGUAAAGAGAGAAAGAUUACUGUAGAGAGAAGAAAGAAAGAAAGGAAGGAAUAAGAAAUAAUAACUU